GCCUGCUGAAGCUGUGAGAAAGCUCAGACUUCCAUCCCUACAUUGUUGAGAACUGGCAAUGUUACAAAGAAGAAACCCCUCAAGACUAUCCGACCAAACAUUUCGUCUCUGAGAAAUGUUCACUCACCCCAGGGUGUGGAACUGAAGGAGUAUUGGUGCCAGUGUCUCCAGACAAGCCUUCUGCAGGAAGCCCUGUGCUUUACCACGAGAGUUUUCUCCAGGGUCAGAGACAGUGGAAGUCGCACUGAAACACUGGAAAACAUUACAUGCAAGAAAAUUCUUAGAAUUGAAUUCUGGUGUGAGUAAUGAAAUAUUUCCCUUUGCAAAAAAAUCAAUUUAGUCAUCAGAUCAAAAUCUGAACCAGUCUUGUUUAUAAUGGCUAUAAAAAUGUAAAUCAAGCAAUUGCUGACUUGGUUUCUUACCUGUCCACCCAUUGUAUGUCAUGAACAAACUGAAAUGCAGUCUCUCGCUUUAGAGCUAAACAGUGCUAUUUUUAUGGAGGAAGUCCCUGAAUUUUGAUGUGAAAUAUUUUUCUCUAAAUUCUGCCAUCUGGGAAAGCUUUAUAAAAUCUUGUUUUCUAACACACCUAUCAAUAAAAUAUAAUGCUUAAAUCA